AAAAUUAUGGCCCAGUUUAACUUACCUGACACCCAGAAUGCUAUGCUUUCUGAGAAGAGAAUACUUAUGAUUUGCGUUUAGAUAGUGUAUAGCUUGACUUAAAAAAAUGUUUUUAUACCAGUUUUACCAAGGAUUCAGACCCCUGAUGCCUGAUGACAUCACCGAUGGCCACUCAUUGAUCAGGCACGAUUCAGACCACAUGAUUUUGCGAUGAAGAAACACAGGACCAAGUUACACGGCGAUGGCAGCAGAGCUACACGCGUGGAUGAGGCGGAAGCCUUCACAGCUCGAGCUCGGAUUCUGCCGCAGCCGACAGCAGCCUUUCAAGUCUCUUCAGACGCCAGGCUUACGCGGAGAGAAACAAGACCCGCGUCUUCCUUUGAAGGAAAGGCCCAUUGUGAAGACGGGCUUGACGGCGACGCAGACAGCGCUACGUUCUCCGCUAGCUGUUCUCCGCUAGCUGUUCUCUCACAUCACCAUUUCAGAGCCACGGUGGUCUUAAAACGGAGGCGUGGGACAAUAACGUACUGGGGGAAACGAGUUGGCCCUCCCUCGUUUAAUUGGACGCGUUGACGGGCUGCUGGUUCUCGAGGCUGAAAGGAGACGUGGCAGGGCGGGCUGGAUGAGUGUGCUCUGGGAGCAAAUGCUGCAGGCCUGCAGGGGCAACAGAGCUCAAUCCCCCUAGGUUGACACCUGACCCCUAAUUGCUCCCAACGACCUGAUUGGUACAGUACCUUGCAUGGCAGCCUUUCACCGUUGGUGUGUGUGAAUGGGUGAAUGAGAGGCAUCAAUUGUAAAGCGCUUUGGAUAAAAGCGCUAUAUAAAUGCUGUCCAUUUACCUGCUCUUCUUCUCUGUGUUUACCUGGAUGUCUUUU